GCUUUCAAAGGAUAACAGCUCAUCCGUUGGUCUUAGGAGCCAAAAACUCUUGGUGCAAAUCCAAGUGAAAGCU
rnacentral:tRNA from 2 species